GUUCUUAUUACCAUCAUGUCCCAAAGAUCUCACACUUGUGAGAGGAUAGAGAUACUUGGUCCAAACCAGCAAUUCCCAGAUGAAAGAAAUUCACAGGAAGAAGAGAAAGACAGAACAGCAGAUUUUGGUUAGCUCUUUAUCGAGUCUACUGCCAGUGCUUUCUGCUAUCAGUGCCCAAACAUCUGUACUGGGGACAUCACACAAGCUGACAGUCGGAUACUGAUAUCUGCAAUAAUGUUUCCAGGUGCUGGCAUUUCCCCUGAUGAGCUACUGGCCUCUCUAGAGACGGCGUCCCUUCCGAAUGUGGCUGCUGUGAUUAUUUCAGGUCUGGAGGCAGAUUUCCCCGAGGAACAGAGGAAUUGUGCCAGCAGAUGUGGUUCGUGCGCUCUGCUUCCCCCGGGCCUGGCAAGGGAGGCUGGGGGGCACCAAGGGAGGGGUGAAGCAGUGCCAGCUUGGUCCCUGCCCACGGGAAAAGGGGGCAUCCCUCUUCCUUCCCCCUGGGAGAGGGGCUGUGGGUGGGCAGAGGUCCAGGAGUUGAGCUGAGGGUGUCAAAAUAUUUGCUCAGUCUUUUGGGGGCCAACCUGCGAGGGAGAGGAAGGUGAGAUAUCGCAGUAAGUGAGAGGUGAUCUGUCUGGGAGCAGACAGCGACUCCAUGUUGGAUUUGUUGAAUUACGUGUGUUUUGUGAGGGGAGAGAGAAUUCAGGAUGUUCUCAGCUGGGUACAGGAUGAGACAGCCUUUGAUUAGAAAUCAUCCUUAAUGGUUUCUUCUGGAACAGCUUUACAGGUCCAGAGGUUUCUGCAUUCGCUAAUGUUAUAAGCUCAAAUCAAAAUGCAGGUCAUCUGAAGUCUGUGAUAGCAGAAAGAAGUAUAACGUUGUUUCUGUUAACCCCACAAUCCCGCUGUCUCGAUAAAUCCACAGAAAGAUGUUUUUAAAUUUUCAAAAGGUGGGAAAAGUGUGAACUUCCAGGUCUGUCCAUACACACUUCUAUCUCUUGACACGAGAAAUUUCUGGUUGUGGAAAUACAGUCUCAUUUCGGGGCUCUUUCAGAAGUUGUCUUUGCAUUGGCAUUAACCCAAGGGCCUGGAUCACAGGAACAGAAAGAGACGCACUUGAUGCAGGAGUGGGCUCCCAGCCACAUGGUAAAUACCAUUUUUUCCCAGCUAGAGUAGUGCUGUCUGUGACCAUUGAGCAAAGAUGGAAGAAUCUCAGUCUCCUAUAUUUGAAUUUCUUUAGGUCAUCAACACAGUAAAAGAGAGGGAGAUUCUGUGGCAUCUUUUAACCUGUUCUUCCACUGUUAUGUCCUACUUAUUCUACAAACUAUAAAUUAUCUGCCUGCCCGUUUCCCUUUAGAAUAUCCUUCAGCAUCACAGAUACCAUCUAUUUUUCUCUUGGGUGGUCUUAUUGAUACAAACCUAACUACAUUUUAGAGCAGUUGUUCUCAAUUGGUUUUUAUUUUUUCAAGGCUGCUGCUUCUGUUUUGGACCUGGAGAAGGACUGAUGUACUUGAGAGCUUAUUGAUUUUUCCCAGAUAGACUAGAGGGUCUAAUGACAUAGGGCUGCCUACAAACCUUGGUUUUGGUUAUAUCCUUGGAUACAUCAACAAUACUGUUUUGUUAUUUCUUCUGGCAUAAUUUAUAGCUGUCAGCAUUAUGCAAAUAUCCCAGUAACAACUCGUAAUGAUAUGGAGAGAGUUAUGUUGGCCUGUCAGCAAUGUUCCUAAACUUCAUCAGGGAAAAAUAAACAGAAAAAUCUCAGGCA
rnacentral:lncRNA from 1 species